UACGGGGGGGGCAAGCGUUGUUCGGAAUUACUGGGCGUAAAGGGCUCGUAGGCGGCCAACUAAGUCGGACGUGAAAUCCCUCGGCUUAACCGGGGAACUGCGUCCGAUACUGGAUGGCUGGAGGUUGGGAGAGGGAUGCGGAAUUCCAGGUGUAGCGGUGAAAUGCGUAGAUAUCUGGAGGAACACCGGUGGCGAAGGCGGCAUCCUGGACCAAUUCUGACGCUGAGGAGCGAAAGCCAGGGAGCAAACGGG
rnacentral:rRNA from 1 species